rnacentral:ncRNA from 1 species
AGAAAGGCUAUGAAGAGAAAGAGUAGCGGUCAGGAAGCCAUACAGAAAGCAGCCGGUUGAUGAGAGGCGCAUGGAUAUGGAUUGUGAAUACAUCUCGGAGCUGCGCACCCAACGGAACGGAGGCAUUUCCGGACCUAGUAGGCUGCGACGGAGGGACACCCCGUAACCGCGUGUCAGGGUAUCGUUUCAUGCAACACGGAGCCGUACCUGCUGAGGCUGUCAGCGCGAGCUGGCGGUGAACGAAAGGUGGUAACACGAGAUCAGGUCUCGUCCUUUUG